CUGGACCUUAGCCUGUCCGCAGGCGCCCUGCUGGGGCCUCGUUAAUUUUCCACACUGCACUGGGUAGUACCAGAGAAAGCAGAGAGUGCUCUGGCUGCAGGUUCUACCCACCUUUUCCUCUGGGAACGUAGCAGGAAAGGACAGAGAAAGAAAUUCGGUUUUUCAAAGCCUCGAAACUUAACUUCUCAUUUUCCUCCCCGCACAAGUAGUGUUCUUCCCAGGCUAGAAGAGGGCACCAGGUCACACUACAGAUGGUUGUGAGCCCCCAUGUGGUUUCUGGGAAUUGAACUCUGGACCUCUGGAAGAGCAGUCAGUGCUCUUAACCUCUGAGCCAUCUCUCCAGCCCAGGAAACGUGGACAUAAAAGAAGUCUGCUGAAUGUGACUAGAGAACUGUCAGAGUCUGAGCUGUAGAGAGCUACGGUAUGCGCUGUGACUUGGAGGAUGACUUCUGGGUCAGCUGGAACUACUUCCUUGUAUAGUAGGUUAAGAGAUUCCUAAGUAAAGAAUUAAUGUAAUUAGACUCUAAAAUCUUGAACAUCUUCAAUCUUCUGUAUUAUUUCUUCUGAUUGAAUGAAAUUUACUGCUUAGUCUUCCCCUUACCUUAUUUUUGCCAUCUGUUGGCUUUUCUAUCUCACCAUUUUGUCCACUUUGGGUGGUGUUCAGAAUUUUUAAUCUCUCCCAUCUCAUCAGCAUCUUUUAGCUAGGCACAGGAAAUAAUGGGCUCAAUUUUUUGAAUUAUUUCAGGUUUCUUAAGUUUAACACUCAGUUAAUUUCAACUACAGAUCAACCACCACAUGUGAAUAUUUUAAGCCAACGGCCUUUCUACUUAUAAUUUCUUGGAUUCCUUCAUGAUUUCUGUCCCAUACCUUACGAAGAUGUGCUGUCCCUUCAUUAUGGCUUUCAAUCUUUUGACCUCUUAAUGUUUCUUAAUGGUUUCUGUUCAAUGCCUUUGUUUACAAAAAUUUUCCUGUUUUGAAUUUUUUUUUCAAAAAAUUGAACUGUGAAAAUACUUUAACCAUAUACAAACUGUCCUGGAGACCAUUGAUUUGAACCAUCCUCUUAUCUCUUCAAAU
rnacentral:lncRNA from 1 species